AGAAAAUUAAACAAAGCUUUAUAACCAUGUAUACAUGGGAGAGGCUCAGACAAGCUGAGCAACUCGCCAAAAUGGCUGAAGCCCCCCCCCCACCUUAAAUAUCAUAUCCAGCUAAAGACAAAGGAGGAUGUUGGGGGUGGGGGGAAUCAGUUACAGGAGGUUAUCAGGCAAGCACAAUAAACAAAUGCAGAUUUAAGUCCUUGCCUUCCCCAUUGAUUAAGACUGUCUAGAUAUAAGGUCAUCCUUCCUUCCUGGUGCAGAGAGGGAGACAUCUUUACAGAUGGAGAUUUCCUUUGCAAUGUAAAUGUCUCUUACAAAGGUUCUUUCAAAAUGGAAAUCAGCCACCCAGUUCAGCACCCACAGUCCCUUGGGAUCCCCCUAAGAAAGCAGUGGAUGGGUCUCCAGAAACUGGUUUUGUCAAGGAUUCCUGUAUUCAGCCACUAUGAGAGAUUGCCUCCUGGUGCCUCUGGGAUCCAUAGAAACUAGGGAUGUUGAUGACUAGCAGUUGAAGGGACUGCUGUCAUGAGGAGCUCAAUGGAGCCACGAUUCUGCUUGGAGAAGAACCUGGUACCAAAUGGAAGCAAAAUACCAGAUCCGGUUCUAUCAAAAUGGAAGCUAGCCACCCAGUCCAGCACUACAAGACCUUUGGGCCUGAGAAGGCAGUGGAAUGGGUCUCUAGAAACUGACUUUGACAAGGGCUCCUAUAUUCAAACAUGACUGGAGGCUGACCCCUGGUGGAUGGUAGACCUGGGAUCUCUGUACGCUGGAAAUGGUGGUGAUUAUCAACCUAAGGGAGUGCUGUCAGGAGGAGCUUAACAGAACCAUGACAAAUGGGAGACUCACCUAGUAAUCGUGAGAAGUUAAAUUUUAAGGAUAAAAGGAAAAUUACUUUUGAAAGAUGAUCAAAUCCAUGUGUUUUUUGUUGUUGAUCUAAGGAAAAUUUUUUAAUUAAACCCAUUUUUUUAAAAGUCAGC
rnacentral:lncRNA from 1 species